rfam:Escherichia coli O157:H7 str. TW14359, complete genome.
GAUGCUCUAGGCAUCACAUUUUCUCCAUGGGGUAUUCCCUCCGCCGGCACUAUGUGUUGCUGGCGUUUUUUUAU